rnacentral:rRNA from 1 species
UACGUAGGGUGCAAGCGUUGUCCGGAUUUAUUGGGCGUAAAGAGCGUGUAGGCGGCUAAAUAGGUCCGUUGUGAAAACUCGAGGCUCAACCUCGAGAUGCCGAUGGAAACCAUUUGGCUAGAGUCCGGAAGAGGAGAGUGGAAUUCCCGGUGUAGCGGUGAAAUGCGCAGAUAUCAGGAGGAACACCCGUGGCGAAAGCGGCUCUCUGGGACGGUACUGACGCUGAGACGCGAAAGCGUGGGGAGCAAACAGG